GACGAACGCUGGCGGCGUGCUUAACACAUGCAAGUCGAACGGAAAGGCCCUGCUUUUGUGGGGUGCUCGAGUGGCGAACGGGUGAGUAACACGUGGGUAACCUGCCCUUGACUUUGGGAUAACUUCAGGAAACUGGGGCUAAUACCGGAUAGGAGCUCCUGCUGCAUGGUGGGGGUUGGAAAGUUUCGGCGGUUGGGGAUGGACUCGCGGCUUAUCAGCUUGUUGGUGGGGUAGUGGCUUACCAAGGCUUUGACGGGUAGCCGGCCUGAGAGGGUGACCGGCCACAUUGGGACUGAGAUACGGCCCAGACUCCUACGGGAGGCAGCAGUGGUGAAUAUUGCACAAUGGGCGGAAGCCUGAUGCAGCAACGCCGCGUGCGGGAUGACGGCCUUCGGGUUGUAAACCGCUUUCGCCUGUGACGAGGCGUGAGUGACGGUAAUGGGUAAAGAAGCACCGGCUAACUACGUG
rnacentral:rRNA from 1 species